UACGUAGGGUGCAAGCGUUGUCCGGAAUUAUUGGGCGUAAAGAGCUCGUAGGCGGUUUGUCGCGUCGGCUGUGAAAGCCCGGAGCUCAACUCCGGGUCUGCAGUCGAUACGGGCGACUUGAGUGUUGCAGGGGAGACUGGAAUUCCUGGUGUAGCGGUGAAAUGCGCAGAGUAUCAGGAGGAACACCGGUGGCGAAGGCGGGUCUCUGGGCCAACAACGUGACGUGAGGAGCGAAAGCGUGGGGAGCGAACGG
rnacentral:rRNA from 1 species